rnacentral:rRNA from 1 species
AGAGAGAGACAUGCGCGCAUAUCAAUAAGCGGAGGAAAAGAAACUAACAAGGAUUCCCUUAGUAACGGCGAGUGAAGCGGGAAGAGCUCAAAUUUGAAAUCUUCAAGGUUUUACCUUGACGAAUUGUAGUUUAAAGAAGUGUUUUCUGCUGAAGUUUUGGUAAAAGUUCUUUGGAAUAGGACAUCAUAGAGGGUGAGAAUCCCGUAUUUGACCAUUAUUUUCAGCUUUGUGAUACACUUUCAAAGAGUCGGAUUGUUUGGGAAUGCAGUCCAAAAUGGGUGGUAAAUUUCAUCUAAAGCUAAAUAUUGGCGAGAGACCGAUAGCGAACAAGUACCGUGAGGGAAAGAUGAAAAGAACUUUGAAAAGAGAGUUAAACAGUACGUGAAAUUGUCAAAAGGGAAGCGUUUGACACCAGUGUUGUUUUCUCGAAGAUCAAUUAAAAAAGGCAGGAUUUUGUAUGUUGUAUUGACCUUUAUCAAGCUUCACUGCUACAUCUCUUCGUGUCUUUUUUAAUGCACUUUUCGUUUAACAAGUCAACAUCAGUUUCUUUUGUUGUAAAAGGGUCAUUGGAAGGUGGCUUUCUUUUCGGAGAAAGUGUUUAUAGCCUUUGGCCUCUGCAAUCGGAGAGACUGAGGUCUGCAGCGUAGACUCUUCGGGGUUAGAUACAUUUGUGCUAAGUUAUAGCUUUUUAUAGACAACUUGUUGACUAUAAUUAGUCUUGUAGCUUACUCGCUUAUGCUAUUUUACCUACGCUUAGGAUGUUGAAGUCAUCGUAUCGCGC